CAGUCGCCACGGUAAUACGGAGGAUCCAAGCGUUAUCCGGAAUCAUUGGGUUUAAAGGGUCCGUAGGCGGUCUUGUAAGUCAGUGGUGAAAGCCCAUCGCUCAACGGUGGAACGGCCAUUGAUACUGCAGGACUUGAAUUAUUGGGAAGUAACUAGAAUAUGUAGUGUAGCGGUGAAAUGCUUAGAGAUUACAUGGAAUACCAAUUGCGAAGGCAGGUUACUACCAAUUGAUUGACGCUGAUGGACGAAAGCGUGGGUAGCGAACAGGAUUAGAGACCCCGGUAGUCCCUGUCUCUUAUAC
rnacentral:rRNA from 1 species